CGACUCUGGAAUUGAAAACGUCCGCUGAUUUUUUCAGAGAUGGAAAACUCAUUCUGCGUUGUUUCGCUGCAAUAUCCACAGUUUACACAGCCUCGGCUGAGUUGGUUGUCACCGAAGAUACGCCGCUCCACGCAUCAAUCAGCGGCGACGCCUCGCCUCACCUUCACCCAUCGAGCGGUUCCGGGGGGAGGAUUUUUUCGGAAAUUGGUGUGCUCUCGCUAUGUCUGGUAAUAGCAAGAUCCUGGAGCAGGUAGCUCCUCAAUUCGGAGGACGUCGUCGCCUCCGACCUCAUCGCGUCGUCCGUGUCAACCUAAGUAGCUAGGGCUUCCAGUUGUGUAUGUUACUAUAAA
rnacentral:misc_RNA from 1 species